rnacentral:tRNA from 1 species
GGUAUCUUGGCCGAGCGGUCUAAGGCGCCGCACUCAAGUUGCGGUCUCGAAAGAGGCGUGAGUUCGAAUCUCACAGAUAUCA